rnacentral:rRNA from 1 species
AUGGCCGGCAGCAGCACCAGCACCUUCGUCAUCAGGUGGAUCAACUUCCUCACCAUGAUACUGGCGAUACUUGUGGUGGGUUUUGGGUUCUGGAUGAGCACCCACAAUGACGAAUGCCGACGGUCACUGACGAUCCCUGUCAUGGGCCUUGGAGGAGUAAUUUUUCUCAUGUCGCUGGCCGGAUUCGUGGGUGCUUGGAAGAACAUUUCUUGCUUGCUUUGGACAUAUCUAAUAAUGCUGUUCGUGGUCCUGGUGGCAAUCAUGGUCUUCACAGUGCUUGCGUUUAUCAUUACAAAUACUGGAACUGGUCAUGCUGUUCCUGGGUCCAGAUAUAAAGAGUAUCGUCUUCAGGACUACAGUUCUUGGUUUGUCAAACAGCUCAAUGACACUGAUAAAUGGACUCAUCUGAGAAGUUGCCUUGUGAAGUCGGAUGAUUGCAAUAGCUUGUCAAAUAGAUAUAAGACUCUAAAACAAUACAAGCUCGCUGAGCUGACUCCCAUUGAGUCUGGCUGUUGCCGCCCACCAGCGGAGUGUGGAUAUCCAGCUUUGAAUGCUUCCAAUUUUGAUCUGAGCUACCAUCCGGUGAGCACAAAUGUCGACUGCAAACUGUACAAAAAUGAUCGGUUCCUCAGGUGCUAUGACUGUAAUUCUUGCAAAGCUGGUGUUGCGCAAUACAUGAAGACAGAGUGGCGAGUGGUUGCCAUCUUCAAUGUGAUAUUGUUUAUCAUUUUGUCAUUCGUGUACUUUGUUGGCUGCUGCGCACGUCGACAUGCUGGAGGUAGCGAUUCUAAAGUUCCUCGAAGAUGA